rnacentral:rRNA from 1 species
GACGAACGCUGGCGGCGUGCUUAACACAUGCAAGUCGAACGGAGCGCCAUGGAAUGAGGUUUCGGCCAAAGGAAAUGGUUGCUUAGUGGCGGACUGGUGAGUAACGCGUGAGGAACCUGCCUUUCAGAGGGGGACAACAGUUGGAAACGACUGCUAAUACCGAAUACGCUUGGGAGACCGCAUGAUCUACCAAGGAAAGGGUGGCCUCUACCUGUAAGCUAUCGCCUGAAGAGGGGUUUGCGUCUGAUUAGGCAGUUGGUGAGGUAACGGCCCACCAAACCUACGAUCAGUAGCCGGUCUGAGAGGAUGAACGGCCACACUGGAACUGAGACACGGUCCAGACUCCUACGGGAGGCAGCAGUGGGGAAUCUUCCGCAAUGGGCGAAAGCCUGACGGAGCAACGCCGCGUGAGUGAUGACGGCCUU